GACGAACGCUGGCGGCGUGCUUAACACAUGCAAGUCGAGCGGAAAGGCCCUGCUUUUGUUGGGUGCUCGAGUGGCGAACGGGUGAGUAACACGUGAGUAACCUGCCCUUAACUGUGGGAUAACUUCAGGAAACUGGGGCUAAUACCGGAUAGGAGCUCCUGCUGCAUAUUGGUGGUUGGAAAGUUUCGGCGGUUGGGGAUGGACUCGCUGCUUAUCAGCUUGUUUGUGGGGUAGUGGCUUACCAAGGCUUUGACGGGUAGCCGGCCUGAGAGGGUGACCGGCCACAAUGGGACUGCGAGACGGACCAGAAGGCUACGGGAGGCAGCAGUGGGGAAUAUUGCAGAAUGGGCGGAAGCCUGAGGCAGCAACGCCGCGUGCGGGAUGACGGCCUUCGGGUUGCAAACCGCUUUCGCCGGAGACGAAGAGUGAGUGACGGUAAUGGGUAAAGAAGCCCCGGCUAACUACGUG
rnacentral:rRNA from 1 species